rnacentral:lncRNA from 1 species
UCCACAUAUUUAAAAGUCUUAUAACUUUUUAUUUUUGUCCUCACUGGCCUCCAAGUUUUCUAGGAUGAUGCAAUGUCCAGCCAUCAACACAUUUGUGAAGGAAUUUUUACUCCCCAAAAGAGCGCCCCCCCAUGGCAGGAGAAAAAAAGUCAAUUUUUUCUUGUCCCAUAAGGUGAUAAUACACAUUGUUGACUGUCAUACCUGUACGCUUUGUCAUAUUGACACAAAAUUUGACAUACACAUGUAUCUCAAUAAGAUCUACGAAAAAGUCAAUGCGCGCGUAUCUGUAAAAUGUACGGUUAAAGGGCUAUUUUACAUUUUUUGCCGAUUAGCACACAUUGGAAUGUGGCUAACUCCUCCUAAGGCUUUCGUCCCACUGACACCAAAUUUGCUCAGGCCAAUCUACACCCCAUGGCCAUUCAAAGUUGUAAAAAUCAUGACGCUGCACCCCACGGUUUAGGUUCUAGGGGGCGCCAAAGAUAACCCUAAAAUCCACAUAUUUAAAAGUCUUAUAACUUUUUAUUGUUGUCCCCACUGGCCUCCAAGUUUUCUAGGAUGAUGCAAUGUCCAGCCAUCAACACAUUUGUGAAGGAAUUUUUACUCGCCAAAAGAGCGCCCCCCCAUGGCAGGAGAAAAAAGUCCAUUUUUUCUUGUCCACUAAGGUGAAAAUACACAUUGUUGAGUGCUACACCUGUACGCUUUGUCAUAUUGACACAAGAUUUGACAAUCAAGUGUAUCUCAAUAAGAUCUACGAAAAAGUCAAUGUGCACGUAUCUGUAAAAUGUACGGUUAAAGGGCUAUUUCGCAUUUUUCGCCGAUUAGCACACAUUGGAAUGUGGCUAACUCCUCCUAAAGCUUUCGUCCCACUGACACCACAUUUGCUCAGGCAAAUCUACACCCCAUGGCCAUUCAAAGUUGUACAAAUCAUGACGCUGCACCCCACGGUUUACGUUCUAGGGGGCGCCAAAGAGGACCCAAAUAUCCACAUUUUUAAAAGUCCUAUAACUUUUUAUUUUUGUCUUCACUGGCCUCCAAGUUUUCUAGGAUGAUGCAAUGUCCAGCCAUCAACACAUUUGUGAAAGAAUUUUUUCUCCCCAAAAGAGCGCCCCCCCCCCCCCCCAUGGCAGGAGAAAAAGUCAAGUUCUUCCUGCCCAUCGCUCAAUGGCUCAAACGCAUCGCUCUCUCGGCAAAACCGAAAGGAGGAGCAACUUGCCAUUUGGAUAUAUCGAAGCUGUGUUUGUGCCCUCACUCAUGGUCCAGACUUUUUUCAAAAAGGACAUGGAGUUCGUCUGCAGCGAGCAUUUUGGUAGAAACCGCGCCUCCCAUUCAUUAUAAUGGUAAAUGACCACAGACAAGUGCGCACACCAUCUUUGGACCUUGAGUGUGACGCGAUCGGGAGGGGUAGGCGGUCACGCUGGGGGCGGCGCGACACGGCUCGGGCCCGCCAGUGCCCCACCGGGGCCCUAGUUAGGGCCCGAGCGUAGCUGCUAAGCAGCUGCGAGAGCCCUAUUAUUCCCCAAGUGGUUUUUCUUUGUUUCUUUCUUUCUUUCUUUCUUUCUUUCUUCUUUUUCCUCCCCUUUGAACUGGAAAAUGGCCCACUUCCCACUGGCGAAAACUCAUGAAAUUUGGCAGGACGACCGGGCCUGGUGAAAAAUUUGAUAUUCUGAAGUCGCCCAAACAAUAAAAUGCAAAAUGGCUCCAUAGCGCCCCCUAAGGUGGAAAUUCACACUAUUGAUUGUCACGCCUGUACGCUUUGUCAUAUUGACACAAAAAUUGACACACAUAUGUAUCUCAAUAAGAUCUACAAAAAAGUCAGUGCGGCCGUAUCUGUCAAAAUUACGGUUAAAGGGUUAUUUCGCAUUUUUUGCCGAUCCGCACACAUUGGAAUUUCGCUAACUCCUCCGAAGGCUUUCGUUCCACCGGCACCACAUUUGCUCAGGCCAAUCUACACCCCGUGGCCAUUAAAAGUUAUCAAAAUCAUGACGCUGCACCCCACGGUUUAGGUUCUAGGGGGCGCCAAAGAUAACACUAAAAUCCACAUAUUUAAAAGUCUUAUAACUUUUUAUUUUUGUCCUCACUGGCCUCCAAGUUUUCUAGGAUGAUGCAAUGUCCAGCCAUCAACACAUUUGUGAAGGAAUUUUUACUCCCCAAAAGAGCGCCCCCCCAUGGCAGGAGAAAAAAGUCCAUUUUUUCUUGUCCCCUAAGGUGAAAAUACACAUUGUUGAGUGUCACGUCUAUACGCUUUGUCAAAAUGACACAAAAAUUGACACACACAUGUAUCUCAAUAAGAUCUACGAAAAAGUCAAUGCGUGCAUAUCUGUCAAAUGUAUGUACGGUUAAAGGGUUAUUCCGCAUUUUUUGCCGAUCCGCACACAUUGGAAUGUGGCUAACUCCUCCUAAGGCUUUCGUUCCACCGGCACCACAUUUGCUCAGGCCAAUCUACACCCCAUGGCCAUUAAAAGUUAUUCAAAUCAUGACGCUGCACCCCACGGUUUAGGUUCUAGGGGGCGCCAAAGAUAACCCUAAAAUCCACAUAUUUAAAAGUCUUAUAACUUUUUAUUUUUGUCCUCACUGGCCUCCAAGUUUUCUAGGAUGAUGCAAUGUCCAGCCAUCAACACAUUUGUGAAGGAAUUUUUACUCCCCAAAAGAGCGCCCCCCAUGGCAGGAGAAAAAAGUCCAUUUUUUCUUGUCCCCUAAGGUGAAAAUACAUAUUGUUGAGAUUCACGCCUAUACGCUUUGUCAUAUUGACACAAAAUUUGACAAUCACGUGCCUUGCCUGGUAUCAUUUUUUUCAGCACAACCUCACCUGUGCGAAUUUACAGUUAUUUUAUCAUGUUGACAUACUGAAUUUACACAAUGGACCCAAAUUCACACACAAAACAUAAAAUCCGAGUGGAAAAAAGUAACAUUUUUACUGUGAAAACCACAAAUAUGUGUGAUGAACUGUUUUUAAAACUUAAACUUCAAAUAAAAAUUGUAAACUUCAAAACAUAUGCAAAUUUUUAACAAAGAACAUAGUGAUUUACCUCUAUUUACAUCAAAAUGCAGGCAAUGGCCCAGGCGUUCUUUGUAAAAUUAUUUACAAAACACUGUAUAGUCUCACAAAUGUCACUUUUUAUUUAUGCCACUACAAAAAAACAUGAUGUAAAUGAUGCAUGAUGUAAAACAUGAUGUAAAAAACUUGUGUAGAUCCUCCUCUAUGUCAGUCCAUGUGUAAUUUUUCCAUAAUUCUUUGUUUUUUGCAGCAUUUUUGUUAGUGUAACUGCAGAUUGUGCUGACAGUGUCUAUGGCAAAAAAAAAAAAAAAAAAAAAACUGAAAAUGCCUCAACAUGAACCCCUGGUGGUCUCUGAGGGUGAAACCUGCUAACUGCUGCAGCUCUGUCAGCUUCAGUCUCAUGCAGAGCUCGGAGCGCAUGUGUGGCUCUGCACCCUUAGCAGCGUUGCUAACUCCUCAGUAAGGAAAGCCUGCUUCAUGUCAGAGUCUCUAAACUCCAGAAGAAGUCGAUAAAAGUCACUUUCUUUCUAAAAAAAAGUCGUUAGGGGGUCUGAAAAGUCAUUGAAUCUAACAACAAAGUCGCUAGGUUUGCAACUACGUGUCCCAGACUGCAUCCCUGCUGAGAGUCCCUCCCUCCCUUCUCAUAUUGCAGGAAGAACGUAAGCGCCCGCCCCUCAACGGAGUCAACGAGGCUCCGUCUUGCAGCUACAUCCGGUUGAAUAUGUCAUGUGACUUGAACGCACACACACACACACACACACACACACACACACACACACAGACACACACACACACGCACACACACACACUCAGAGUCUGGUUUUUAGCACCUGCAAAAACAUGCUAUUUACAUAUUUGACAAGAAUGCAGAGGCUCCUUUUGCCCCUGAAAAAAAUCAAAUUUCAAACACAACUUGACUGGUCAUUUCUCCAAAAGACAACCAUGAAGCUCCAUCCAAACCUGAAGCAGGCAGUUGGUGCAUGUGUACAGUAACCUGAGGGGAGUGAGGUGACUGCUUCUGAGGAGAACAUGAGCAGUGAAGAUUCACCUUAGAGCUAGAACAGAGACGUGCACAUGAUUAUACAGGGGCAGGGGCUCAAGUUUUUUCCAGUUGUUUAUACAAUAUGGAAAUUAAUGUGAAAUUAAAAAACAAAGUAUUAAUAGAAAGGUAAUGACUGUCCUGAGUAGGUGACAGUGAUAUCCAAUAGGCUAGGCACUCACGAGGCUGGCUGUGGCAAGUGUAAGUGAAAGCAACACGCACUGGCAGGAAGAACAGCAAACGCCGAUGAAGGAAAAGGGUCUUUGCAGUGAUGGGCGUUACCAGAGAGGGCGAUGGCCAGAGGACACAAAUGGGACGGGGAGGCAGCGCGUUGGGGUGGGGGGGGGGGGCGCGACACAGCUCGGGCCCGCCAGUGCCCCAACGGGGUCCUAGUUCUUCUUUUUCCUCCCCUUUGAACUGGAAAAUGGCCCACUUCCCACUGGCGAAAACUCAUGAAAUUUGGCAGGAUGACCGGGCCUGGUGAAAAAUUUGAUAUUCCGAAGUCGCCCAUACAAGAAAAUGCAAAAUGGCUCCAUAGCGCCCCCUAAGGUGAAAAUUCACACUAUUGACUGUCACGCCUUUACGCUUUGUCAAAAUGACACAAAAAUUGACACACAUAUGUAUCUCAAUAAGAUCUACAAAAAAGUCAGUGCGGGCGUAUCUGUCAAAUGUACGGUUAAAGGGUUAUUCCGCAUUUUUUGCCGAUCCGCACACAUUGGAAUUUCGCUAACUCCUCCGAAGGCUUUCUUUCCACCGGCACCACAUUUGCUCAGGCCAAUCUACACCCCAUGGCCAUUAAAAUUUAUUCAAAUCAUGACGCUGCACCCCACGGUUUAGGUUCUAGGGGGCGCCAAAGAUAACCCUAAAAUCCACAUAUUUAAAAGUCUUAUAACUUUUUAUUUUUGCCCUCACUGGCCUCCAAGUUUUCUAGGAUGAUGCAAUGUCCAGCCAUCAACACAUUUGUGAAGGAAUUUUUACUCCCCAAAAGAGCGCCCCCCCAUGGCCGGAGAAAAAAGUCCAUUUUUUCUUGUCCCCUAAGGUGAAAAUACACAUUGUUGAGUGUCACGCCUGUACGCUUUGUCAUAUUGACACAAAAUUUGACACACACAUGUAUCUCAAUAAGAUCUACGAAAAAGUCACUGCGCGCGUAUCUGUCAAAUGUACGGUUAAAGGGUUAUUCCGCAUUUUUUGCUGAUCCGCACACAUUGGAAUUUCGCUAACUCCUCCUAAGGCUGGCAUUCCACCGGCACCACAUUUGCUCAGGCCAAUCUACACCCCAUGGCCAUAGAAAGUUAUUCAAAUCAUGACGCUGCACCCCACGGUUUACGUUCUAGGGGGCGCCAAAGAUAACCCAAAAAUCCACAGUCUUAAAAGUCUUAUAACUUUUUAUUUUUGUCCUCACUGGCCUCCAAGUUUUCUAGGAUGAUGCAAUGUCCAGCCAUCAACACAUUUGUGAAGGAAUUUUUACUCCCCAAAAGAGCGCCCCCCCAUGGCAGGAGAAAAAAGUCCAUUUUUUCUUGUCCCGUAAGGUGAAAAUUCACAUUGUUGAGUGUGACACCUGUACGCUUUGUCAUAUUGACACAAAAUUUGACAAUCACGUGUAUCUCAAUAAGAUCUACGAAAAAGUCAAUGGGUGCGUAUCUGUCAAAUGUACGGUUAAAGGGCUAUUUUGCAUUUUUUGCCGAUUCGCACACAUUGGAAUGUGGCUAACUCCUCCUAAGGCUUUCGUCCCACUGAAACCAAAUUUGCUCAGGCCAAUCUACACCCCAUGGCCAUUCAAAGUUGUAAAAAUCAUGACGCUGCACCCCACGGUUUACGUUCUAGGGGGCGCCAAAGAUGACCAAAAAAUCCACAUUCUUAAAAGAAUCCACAUUCUCCCCCCCCAUGGCAGGAGAAAAAGUCAAGUUUUUCCUGCCCAUCGCUCAAUGGCUCAAUCGCAUCGCUCCCCAGGCAACACCGUAACGAGGAGCAACCCGCCAUUUGGAUAUAUCCAAGCUGUGUUUGUGCCCUCACUCAUGGUCCAGACUUUUUUCAAAUAGGACAUGAAGUUUGUCUGCAGCGAGUGUUUUGGUAGAAACUGCGCCUCCCAUUCAUUAUAAUGGGAAAUGACCACAGACAAGUGCGCACACCAUCUUUGGACCUUGAGUGUGACGCGAUCGGGAGGGGGAGGCGGUCACGCUGGGGGCGGCACGACGCGGCUCGGGCCCGACAGUGCCCCACCGGGGCCCUAGUUCUUUCUUUCUUUCUUAGGGCCCGAGCCAGCUGCAGAGCAGCCGGGCGUAGGCCCUAUUAUUCCCCAAGUGGUUUUUCUUUGUUUCUUUCUUUAGGGCCCGAGCCAGCUGCAGAGCAGCCGGGCGUAGGCCCUAUUAUUCCCCAAGUGGUUUUUCUUUGUUUCUUUCUUUCUUUUUUCUUUUUCCUCCCCUUUGAACUGGAAAAUGGCCCACUUCCCACUGGCGAAAACUCAUGAAAUUUGGCAGGACGACCGGGCCUGGUGAAAAAUUUGAUAUUCCGAAGUCGCCCAAACAAGAAAAUGCAAAAUGGCUCCAUAGCGCCCCCUAAGGUGAAAAUUCACACUAUUGACUGUCACGCCUGUACGCUUUGUCAAAAUGACACAAAAAUUGACACACACAUGUAUCUCAAUAAGAUCUACAAAAAAGUCAGUGCGGGCGUAUCUGUCAAAUGUACGGUUAAAGGGUUAUUUCGCAUUUUUUGCCGAUCCGCACACAUUGGAAUUUCGCUAACUCCUCCGAAGGCUUUCGUUCCACCGGCACCACAUUUGCUCAGGCCAAUCUACACCCCAUGGCCAUUAAAAGUUAUUCAAAUCAUGACGCUGCACCCCACGGUUUAGGUUCUAGGGGGCGCCAAAGAUAACCCUAAAAUCCACAUAUUUAAAAGUCUUAUAACUUUUUAUUUUUGCCCUCACUGGCCUCCAAGUUUUCUAGGAUGAUGCAAUGUCCAGCCAUCAACACAUUUGUGAAGGAAUUUUUACUCCCCAAAAGAGCGCCCCCCCAUGGCAGGAGAAAAAAGUCCAUUUUUUCUUGUCCCGUAAGGUGAAAAUUCACAUUGUUGAGUGUGACACCUGUACGCUUUGUCAUAUUGACACAAAAUUUGACAAUCACGUGUAUCUCAAUAAGAUCUACGAAAAAGUCAAUGGGUGCGUAUCUGUCAAAUGUACGGUUAAAGGGCUAUUUUGCAUUUUUUGCCGAUUCGCACACAUUGGAAUGUGGCUAACUCCUCCUAAGGCUUUCGUCCCACUGAAACCAAAUUUGCUCAGGCCAAUCUACACCCCAUGGCCAUUCAAAGUUGUAAAAAUCAUGACGCUGCACCCCACGGUUUACGUUCUAGGGGGCGCCAAAGAUGACCAAAAAAUCCACAUUCUUAAAAGAAUCCACAUUCUCCCCCCCCCCAUGGCAGGAGAAAAAGUCAAGUUUUUCCUGCCCAUCGCUCAAUGGCUCAAUCGCAUCGCUCCCCAGGCAACACCGUAACGAGGAGCAACCCGCCAUUUGGAUAUAUCCCAGCUGUGUUUGUGCCCUCACUCAUGGUCCAGACUUUUUUCAAAUAGGACAUGAAGUUUGUCUGCAGCGAGUGUUUUGGUAGAAACUGCGCCUCCCAUUCAUUAUAAUGGGAAAUGACCACAGACAAGUGCGCACACCAUCUUUGGACCUUGAGUGUGACGCGAUCGGGAGGGGGAGGCAGUCACGCUGGGGGCGGCACGACGCGGCUCGGGCCCGACAGUGCCCCACCGGGGCCCUAGUUAUUUUUCCUCCCCUUUGAACUGGAAAAUGGCCCACUUCCCACUGGCGAAAACUCAUGACAUUUGGCAGGACGACCGGGCCUGGUGAAAAAUUUGAUAUUCCGAAGUCGCCCAAACAAGAAAAUGCAAAAUGGCUCCAAAGCGCCCCCUAAGGUGAAAAAUUCACCCUGACGCCUGUACGCUUUGUCAAAAUGACACAAAAAUUGACACACACAUGUAUCUCAAUAAGAUCUACAAAAAAGUCAGUGCGGGCGUAUCUGUCAAAUGUACGGUUAAAGGGUUAUUGCGCAUUUUUUGCCGAUCCGCACACAUUGGAAUUUCGCUAACUCCUCCGAAGGCUUUCUUUCCACCGGCACCACAUUUGCUCAGGCCAAUCUACACCCCAUGGCCAUUAAAAUUUAUUCAAAUCAUGACGCUGCACCCCACGGUUUAGGUUCUAGGGGGCGCCAAAGAUAACACUAAAAUCCACAUAUUUAAAAGUAUUAUAACUUUUUAUUUUUGUCCUCACUGGCCUCCAAGUUUUCUAGGAUGAUGCAAUGUCCAGCCAUCAACACAUUUGUGAAGGAAUUUUUACUCCCCAAAAGAGCGCCCCCCCCAUGGCAGGAGAAAAAAUCAAUUUUUUCUUGUCCCCUAAGGUGAAAAUACACAUUGUUGAGUGUCACGCCUGUACGCUUUGUCAAAAUGACACAAAAAUUGACACACACAUGUAUCUCAAUAAGAUCUACAAAAAAGUCAAUGGGCGCGUAUCUGUCAAAUGUACGUUUAAAGGGUUCUUCCGCAUUUUUUGCCGAUUCGCACACAUUGGAAUUUCGCUAACUCCUCCGAAGGCUUUCGUUCCACCGGCACCACAUUUGCUCAGGCCAAAUUACACCCCAUGGCCAUUAAAAGUUAUUCAAAUCAUGACGCUGCACCCCACGGUUUACGUUCUAGGGGGCGCCAAAGAUAACCCAAAAAUCCAAAUUUUUAAAAGUCUUAUAACUUUUUAUUUUUGUCCUCACUGGCCUCCAAGUUUUCUAGGAUGAUGCAAUGUCCAGCCAUCAACACAUUUGUGAAGGAAUUUUUACUCCCUAAAAGAGCGCCCCCCCAUGGCAGGAGAAAAAAGUCCAUUUUUUCUUGUCCCCUAAGGUGAAAAUACACAUUGUUGAGUGUAACACCUGUACGCUUUGGCAAAAUGACACAAAAAUUGACACACACAUGUAUCUCAAUAAGAUCUACAAAAAAGUCAAUGCGCGCGUAUCUGUCAAAUGUACGGUUAAAGGGCUAUUUUGCAUUUUUUGCCGAUUCGCACACAUUGGAAUGUGGCUAACUCCUCCUAAGGCUUUCGUCCCACUGACACCAAAUUUGCUCAGGCCAAUCUACACCCCAUGGCCAUUCAAAGUUGUAAAAAUCAUGACGCUGCACCCCACGGUUUACGUUCUAGGGGGCGCCAAAGAUGACCCAAAAAUCCACAUUCUUAAAGGAAUCCACAUCCCCCCCCAAGGCAGGAGAAAAAGUCAAGUUAACCCUGCCCAUCGCUCAAUGGCUCAAUCGCAUCGCUCUCCAGGCAACACCGUAAGGAGGAGCAACCUGCCAUUUCGAUAUAUCAUAGCUGUGUUUGUGCCCUCACUCAUGGUCCAGACUUUUUUCAAAUAGGACAUGAAGUUUGUCUGCAGCGAGUGUUUUGGUAGAAACUGCGCCUCCCAUUCAUUAUAAUGGGAAAUGACCACAGACAAGUGCGCACACCAUCUUUGGACCUUGAGUGUGACGCGAUCGGGAGGGGGAGGCGGUCGCGCUAGGGGCGGCGCGACGCGGCUCGGGCCCGACAGUGCCCCACCGGGGCCCUAGUCUUUCUUUCUUUCUUUCUUCUUAUUUUUCCUCCCCUUUGAAGGGGAAAAUGGCCCACUUCCCACUGGCAAAAACUCAUGAAAUUUGGCAGGACGACCGGGCCUGGUGAAAAAUUCGAUAUUCUGAAGUCGCCGAAAAAAUAAUAUGCAAAAUGGCUCCAUAGCGCCCCCUAAGGUGAAAAUUCACACUAUCGAGUGUCACGCCUGUACGCUUUGUCAUAUUGACACAAAAAUUGACACACACAUGUAUCUCAAUAAGAUCUACAAAAAAGUCAGUGCGGCCGUAUCUGUCAAAUGUACGGUUAAAGGGCUAUUUCGCAUUUUUUGCCGAUCCGCACACAUUGGAAUUUCGCUAACUCCUCCGAAGGCUUUCGUUCCACCGGCACCACAUUUGCUCAGGCCAAUCUACACCCCAUGGCCAUUAAAAGUUGUACAAAUCAUGACGCUGCACCCCACGGUUUAGGUUCUAGGGGGCGCCAAAAAUAACGCAAAAAUCCACAUUCUUAAAAGUCUUAUAACUUUUUAUUUUUGUCCUCACUGGCCUCCAAGUUUUCUAGGAUGAUGCAUUGUCCAGCCAUCAACACAUUUGUGAAGGAAUUUUUACUCCCCAAAAGAGCGCCCCCCCAUGGCAGGAGAAAAAAGUCCAUUUUUUCUUGUCCCCUAAGGUGAAAAUUCACACUAUUGAGUGUCACGCCUGUACGCUUCGUCAUAUUGACACAUAAUUUGACAAUCACCUGUAUCUCAAUAAGAUCUACGAAAAAGUCAGUGCGGGCAUAUCUGUCAAAUGUACGGUUAAAGGGUUAUUUCGCAUUUUUUGCCGAUCCGCACACAUUGGAAUUACGCUAACUCCUCCAAAGGCUUUCGUUCCACCGGCACCAAAUUUGCUCAGGCCAAUCUACACCCCAUGGCCAUUAAAAGUUGUACAAAUCAUGACGCUGCACCCCACGGUUUAGGUUCUAGGGGGCGCCAAAGAUUACCCAAAUAUCCAUAUUCCUAAAAGUCUUAUAACUUUUUAUUUUUGUCCUCACUGGCCUCCAAGUUUUCUAGGAUGAUGCAAUGUCCAGCCAUCAACACAUUUGUGAAGGAAUUUUUUCUCCCCAAAAGAGCGCCCCCCCAUGGCAGGCGAAAAAGUCAAGUUUUUCCUGCCCAUUGCUCAAUGGCUCAAACAUCGCUCUCUCGGCAAAACCGAAAGGAGGAGCAACUUGCCAUUUGGAUAUAUACUAGCUGUGUUUCUGCCCUCACUCAUGGUCCAGACUUUUUUCAAAUAGGACAUGGAGUUUUUCUGCAGCGAGCAUUUUGGUAGAAACUGCGCCUCCCAUUCAUUAUAACGGUAAAUGACCACAGACAAGUGCACACACCAUCUUUCGACCUUGAGUGUGACGCGAUCAGGAGGGGGAGGCGGUCGCGCUGGGGGCGGUGCGACAUGGCUCGGGCCCGCCAGUGCCCCAAUGGGGCCCUAGUCUUAUUUUUCUCCCCUUUGAAGGGGAAAAUGGCCCACUUCCCACUGGCGAAAACUCAGGAAAUUUGGCAGGACGACCGGGCCUGGUGAAAAAUUCGAUAUUCUGAAGUCGCCCAAACAAUAAAAUGCAAAAUGGCUCCAUAGCGCCCCCUAAGGUGAAAAUUCACACUAUUGACUGUCACGCCUGUACGCUUUGUCAUUUUGACACAAAAAUUGACACACACGUGUAUCUUAAUACGGUCUACGAAAAAGUCAGUGCGGGCGCAUCUGUGAAAUGUACGGUUAGAGGGUUAUUUCGCAUUUUUUGCCGAUCUGCACACAUUGGAAUUUCGCUAACUCCUCCGAAGGCAUUCGUUCCACCGGCACCACAUUUGCUCAGGCCAAUCUACACACCAUGGCCAUUAAAAGUUGUACAAAUCAUGUCACUGCACCCCACGGUUUACGUUCUAGGGGGCGCCAAAGAUAACCCAAAAAUCCACAGUCUUAAAAGUCUUAUAACUUUUUAUUUUUGUCCUCACUGGCCUCCAAGUUUUCUAGGAUGAUGCAAUGUCCAGCCAUCAACACAUUUGUGAAGGAAUUUUUACUCCCCAAAAGAGUGCCCCCACAUGGCAGGAGAAAAAAGUCCAUUUUUUCUUGUCCCCUAAGGUGAAAAUACACAUUGUUGAGUGUCACGCCUAUACGCUUUGUCAUAUUGACCCAAAAUUUGACAAUCACGUGUAUCUCAAUAAGAUCUACGAAAAAGUCAAUGGGCACGUAUCUGUAAAAUGUACGGUUAAAGGGUUAUUUCGCAUUUUUUUCCGAUCCGCACACAUUGGAAUUUCGCUAACUCCUCCGAAGGCUUUAGUUCCACCGCCACCAAAUUUGCUCAGGCCAAUCUACACCCCAUGGCCAUUAAAAGUUGUACAAAUCAUGACGCUGCACUCCACGGUUUAGGUUCUAGGGGGCGCCAAACAUAACCCAAAAAUCCACAUUCUUAAUAGUCUUAUAACUUUUUAUUUUUGUCCUCACUGGCCUCCAAGUUUUCUAGGUUGAUGCAAUGUCCAGCCAUCAACACAUUUGUAAAGGAAUUUUUACUCACCAAAAGAGCGCCCCCCCAUGGCAGGAGAAAAAAGUCCAUUUUUUCUUGUCCCCUAAGGUGAAAAAACACAUUGUUGACUGUCACGCCUAUACGCUUUGUCAAAAUGAUACAAAAUUUGACACACACGUGUAUCUCAAUAAGAUCUACGAAAAAGUCAAUGGGCACGUAUCUGUAAAAUGUACGGUUAAAGGGCUAUUUCGCAUUUUUUGCCAAUUCGCACACAUUGGAAUGUGGCUAACUCCUCCUAAGGCUUUCUUCCCACCGACACCAAAUUUGCUCAAGCCGAUCUACAUCCCAUGGCCAUUCAAAGUUGUAAAAAUCAUGCCGCUGCACCCCAUGGUUUACGUUCUAGGGGGCGCCAAAGAUGACCCAAAUAUCCACAUUCUUAAAAGAAUCCACAUCCCCCCCCCCCCCCCCCAAGGCAGGAGAAAAAGUCCAGUUAACCCUGCCCAUCGCUCAAUGGCUCAAUCGCAUCGCUCUCCCGGCAACACCGUAAGGAGGAGCAACUUGCCAUUUGGAUAUAUCCUAGCUGUGUUUGUGCCCUCUCUCAUGGUCCAGACUUUUUUCAAAUAGGACAUGUAGUUUGUCUGCAGCGACCGUUUUGGUAGAAACUGCGCCUCCCAUUCAUUAUAAUGGGAAAUGACCACAGACAAGUGCGCACACCAUCUUUGGACCUUGAGUGUGAUGCAAUCGGGAUGGGGAGGCGGUCGCGCUGGGGGCGGCGCGACGCGGCUCGGGCCCGACAGUGCCCCACCGGGGCCCUAGUUAGGGCCCGAGCCAGCUGCAGAGCAGCCGGGCGUAGGCCCUAUUAUUCCCCAAGUGGUUUUUUAGGGCCCGAGCGUAGCUGCUAAGCAGCUGCGAGAGCCCUCUUGUUCCUGAUGGAUUCUUCUUUCGUUAUUUUUCCUCCGCUUUAAACUGGAAAAUGGCCCACUUCCCACUGGCGAAAACUCAGGAAAUUUGGCAGGACGACCGGGCCUGGUGAAAAAUUUGAUAUUCUGAAGUCGCCCAAACAAAAAAAUGAAAAAUGGCUCCAUAGCGCCCCCUAUGGUGAAAACUCACCUGACGCCUGUACGCUUUGUCAAAAUGACACAAAAUUUGACACACAUGUGUAUCUCAAUAAGAUCUACAAAAAAGUCAGUGCGGGCGUAUCUGUCAAAUGUACGGUUAAAGGGCUAUUUUGCAUUUUUUGCCGAUCCGCACACAUUGGAAUUUCGCUAACUCCUCCGAAGGCUUUCGUUCCACCGGCACCAAAUUUGCUCAGGCCAAUCUACACCCCAUGGCCAUUAAAAGUUGUACAAAUCAUGAUGCUGCACCCCACGGUUUACGUUCUAGGGGGCGCCAAAAAUAACCCAAAAAUCCACAUUCUUAAAAGUUUUAUAACUUUUUAUUUUUGUCCUCACUGGCCUCCAAGUUUUCUAGGAUGAUGCCAUGUCCAGCCAUCAACACAUUUGUGAAGGAGUUUUUUCUCCCCAAAAGAGCGCCCCCCCAUGGCAGGAGAAAAAAGUCAAGUUUUUCUUGUCCCCUAACGUGAAAAUACACAUUGUUGAGUGUCACGCCUAAACGCUUUGUCAUAUUGACACAAAAUUUGACAAUCACGUGUAUCUCAAUAAGAUCUACGAAAAAGUCAAAGAGCGCGUAUCUGUAUAAUGUACGGUUAAAGGGCUAUUUUGCAUUUUUUGCCGAUCCGCACACAUUGGAAUUUCGCUAACUCCUCCGAAGGCUUUCGUUCCACCGGCACCAAAUUUGCUCAGGCCAAUCUACACCCCAUGGCUAUUAAAAGUUGUACAAAUCAUGACGCUGCACCCCACGGUUUAGGUUCUAGGGGGCGCCAAAGAUAACCCUAAAAUCCACAUAUUUAAAAGUCUUAUAACUUUUUAUUUUUGUCCUCACUGGCCUCCAAGUUUUAUAGGAUGAUGCAAUGUCCAGCCAUCAACACAUUUGUGAAGGAAUUUUUACUCGCCAAAAGAGCGCCCCCCAUGGCAGGAGAAAAAAGUCCAUUUUUUCUUGUCCCCUAAGGCGAAAAUACACAUUGUUGAAUGUCACGCCUGUACGCUUCGUCAUAUUGACACAAAAUUUGACAAUCACGUGUAUCUCAAUAAGAUCUACGAAAGAGUCAAUGCGCGCGUAUCAGUAAAAUGUACGGUUAAAGGGCUAUUUCGCAUUUUUUGCCGUUUCGCACACAUUGGAAUGUGGCUAACUCCUCCUAAGGCUUUCGUCCCACUGACACCAAAUUUGCUCAGGCCAAUCUAACCCCCAUGGCCAUUCAAAGUUGUAAAAAUCAUGACGCUGCACCCCACGGUCUACGUUCUAGGGGGCGCCAAAGAGGACCCAAAUAUCCACAUUUUUAAAAGUCUUAUAACUUUUUAUUUUUGUCCUCACUGGCCUCCAAGUUUUCUAGGAUGAUGCAAUGUCCAGCCAUCAACACAUUUGUGAAGGAAUGUUUACUCCCCAAAAGAGCGCCCCCCAUGGCAGGAGAAAAAAGUCCAUUUUUUCUUGUCCCCUAAGGUGAAAAUACACAUUGUUGAGUGUCAUGCCUGUACGCUUUGUCAAAAUGACACAAAAUUCGACACACACGUGUAUCUCAAUAAGAUCUACGAAAAAGUAAAUGCAGGCGUAUCUGUCAAAUGUACGGUUAAAGGGCUAUUUCGCAUUUUUUGCCGAUUCGCACACAUUGGAAUGUAGCUAACUCCUCCUAAGGCUUUCGCUCCACCGGCACCAAAUUUGCUCAGGCCAAUCUACACCCCAUGGCCAUUCAAAGUUGUAAAAAUCAUGACGCUGCACCCCACGGUUUAAGUUCUAGGGGGCGCCAAAGAUGACCCAAAAAUCCACAUUCUUAAAAGAAUCCACACCCCCCCCCCCCACACCCCCCAUGGCAGGAGAAAAAGUCAAGUUUUUCCUGCCCAUCGCUCAAUGGCUCAAUCGCAUCGCUCUCCCGGCAACACCGUAAGGAGGAGCAACUUGCCAUUUGGAUAUAUCCUAGCCGUGUUUGUGCCCUCACUCAUGGUCCAGACUUUUUUCAAAUAGGACAUGUAGUUUGUCUGCAGCGACCGUUUUGGUAGAAACUGCGCCUCCCAUUCAUUAUAAUGGUAAAUGACCACAGACAAGUGCGCACACCAUCUUUGGACCUUGAGUGUGACGCGAUUGGGUGGGGGAGGCGGUCGCGCUGGGGGCGGCGCGACACGGCUCGGGCCCGCCAGUGCCCCACCGGGGCCCUAGUCUUUGUUUCUUUCUUUCUUUUUUCUUUUUCCUCCCCUUUGAACUGGAAAAUGGCCCACUUCCCACUGGCGAAAACUCAUGAAAUUUGGCAGGACGACCGGGCCUGGUGAAAAAUUUGAUAUUCCGAAGUCGCCCAAACAAGAAAAUGCAAAAUGGCUCCAUAGCGCCCCCUAAGGUGAAAAUUCACACUAUUGACUGUCACGCCUGUACGCUUUGUCAAAAUGACACAAAAAUUGACACACACAUGUAUCUCAAUAAGAUCUACAAAAAAGUCAGUGCGGGCGUAUCUGUCAAAUGUACGGUUAAAGGGUUAUUUCGCAUUUUUUGCCGAUCCGCACACAUUGGAAUUUCGCUAACUCCUCCGAAGGCUUUCGUUCCACCGGCACCACAUUUGCUCAGGCCAAUCUACACCCCGUGGCCAUUAAAAGUUAUCAAAAUCAUGACGCUGCACCCCACGGUUUAGGUUCUAGGGGGCGCCAAAGAUAACCCUAAAAUCCACAUAUUUAAAAGUCUUAUAACUUUUUAUUUUUGCCCUCACUGGCCUCCAAGUUUUCUAGGAUGAUGCAAUGUCCAGCCAUCAACACAUUUGUGAAGGAAUUUUUACUCCCCAAAAGAGCGCCCCCCAUGGCAGGAGAAAAAAGUCCAUUUUUUCUUGUCCCCUAAGGUGAAAAUUCACACUAUUGACUGUCACGCCUGUACGCUUUGUCAAAAUGACACAAAAAUUGACACACACAUGUAUCUCAAUAAGAUCUACAAAAAAGUCCAUGCGCGCGUAUCUGUCUAAUGUAUGGUUAAAGGGUUAUUUCGCAUUUUUUGCCGAUCCGCACACAUUGGAAUUUCGCUAACUCCUCCUAAGGCUUUCGUACCACAGACACCAAAUUUGCUCAGGCCAAUCUACACUCCAUGGCCAUUCAAAGUUGUAAAAAUCAUGACGCUGCACCCCACGGUUUACGUUUUAGGGGGCGCCAAAGAUGACCCAAAUAUACAUUACAGUAGACAAAGUAGUUUUGCCCACUGAGUGGCGCCAAAGGGACUUGUCUGUGGAGUCUGUGAGUCACUAUUGGCCGUUUUUGACUACUUUAGAUUUUACCUUUAUAUUUCCUCUUACAAAAUUUUUACCUUGCCUUGCCUGGUAUCAUUUUUUUCAGCACAACCUCACCUGUGUCAAUUUACAGUUAUUUUAUCAUUUUGACAUACUAUAUUUACACAUUGGACCCAAAUUCACACACAAAACAUAAAAUCCGAGUGGAAAAAAGUAACGUUUUUACUGUGAAAACCACAAAUAUGUGUGAUGAACUGUUUUUAAAACUUAAACUUCAAAUAAAAAUUGUAAACUUCAAAACAUAUGCAAAUUUUUAACAAAGAACAUAGUAAUUUACCUCUAUUGACGUCAAAAUGCAGGCAAUGGCCCAGGUGUUCUUUGUAAAAUUAUUUACAAAACACUGUAUAGUCUCACAAAUGUCACUUUUUAUUUAUGCCACUACAAAAAAACAUGAUGUAAAUGAUGCAUGAUGUAAAACAUGAUGUAAAAAACUUGUGUAGAUCCUCCUCUAUGUCAGUCCAUGUGUAAUUUUUCCAUAAUUCUUUGUUUUUUGCAGCAUUUUUGUUAGUGUAACUGCAGAUUGUGCUGACAGUGUCUAUGGCACAAAAAAAAAAAAAAAAUUUAAAAUGCCUCAACAUGAACCCCUGGUGGUCUCUGAGGGUGAAACCUGCUAACUGCUGCAGCUCUGUCAGCUUCAGUCUCCCAUGCAGAGCUCGGAGCGCAUGUGUGGCUCUGCACCCUUAGCAGCGUUGCUAACUCCUCAGUAAGGAAAGCCUGCUUCAUGUCAGAGUCUCUAAACUCCAGAAGAAGUCGAUAAAAGUCCCUUUCUUUCUAAAAAAAAGUCGUUAGGGGGUCUGAAAAGUCAUUGAAUCUAACAACAAAGUCGCUAGGUUUGCAACUACGUGUCCCAGACUGCAUCCCUGCUGAGAGUCCCUCCCUCGCUUCUCAUGUUGCAGGAAGAACGUAAGUUCCCGCCCCUUGUCAAUCAGUCACCAUAUAAUUUUGGAUUGGUUGUUGUGGUGAAGUUUUCCACCAAUAGGAGAGAUGUUGUGGUGUGUUUUUUUUUUCUUUUGGCAAGCCUUUUCCGCCUGUAAGACCUGUCGCUAAUGUCUGCAUGCUAUGUUUUCCUGUCUCAUACAGCGCGAUCGAGCGCCGAACGUGAUCAAAAUAAGCAGAAAAAAAGUAUCGCGGACAUAAUUCAUCAUAACUCUGGUUUUAUUUGGCCUAUCAACACAAUUUAAAAACUGGUAUAUAGGUUGAGGUCCUCACUUUUGAGAUAAGUUGAAACGGAGAGUCAACGAGGCUCCGUCUUGCAGCUACAUCCGGUUAAAUAUGUCAUGUGACUUGAACGCACACACAGACACACACACACGCACACACACACACACACACACACACACACACACACACACACACACACACACUCAGAGUCUGGUUUUUAGCACCUGCAAAAACAUGCUAUUUACAUAUUUGACAAGAAUGCAGAGGCUCCUUUUGCCCCUGAAAAAAAUCAAAUUUCAAACACAACUUGACUGGUCAUUUCUCCAAAAGACAACCAUGAAGCUCCAUCCAAACCUGAAGCAGGCAGUUGGUGCAUGUGUACAGUAACCUGAGGGGAGUGAGGUGAGUGCUUCUGAGGAGAACAUGAGCAGUGAAGAUUCACCUUGGAGCUAGAACAGAGACAUGCACAUGAUUAUACAGGGGCAGGGGCUCAAGUUUUUUCCAGUCGUUUAUACAAUAUGGAAAUUAAUGUGAAAUUAAAACACAAAGUAUUAAUAGAAAGGUAAUGACUGUCCUGUGUAGGUGACAGUGAUAUCCAAUAGGCUAGGCACUCACGAGGCUGGCUGUGGCAAGUGUAAGUGAAAGCAACACGCACUGGCAGGAAGAACAGCAAACGCCGAUGAAGGAAAAGGGUCUUUGCAGUGAUGGGCGUUACCAGAGAGGGCGAUGGCCAGAGGACACAAAUGGGACGGGGAGGCAGCACGUUGGGGGGGGGACGCGACACGGCUCGGGCCCGCCAGUGCCCCAACGGGGUCCUAGUUAGGGCCCGAGCGUAGCUGCUAAGCAGCUGCGAGAGCCCUAUUAUUCCCCAAGUGGUUUUUCUUUGUUUCUUUCUUUCUUUCUUUCUUUCUUAGGGCCCGAGCCAGCUGCAGAGCAGCCGGGCGUAGGCCCUAUUAUUCCCCAAGUGGUUUUUCUUUGUUUCUUUCUUUCUUUUUUCUUUUUCCUCCCCUUUGAACUGGAAAAUGGCCCACUUCCCACUGGCGAAAACUCAUGAAAUUUGGCAGGACGACCGGGCCUGGUGAAAAAUUCGAUAUUCUGAAGUCGCCAAAACAAUAAAAUGCAAAAUGGCUCCAUAGCGCCCCCUAAGGUGGAAAUUCACACUAUUGACUGUCACGCCUGUACGCUUUGUCAUAUUGACACAAAAAAUGACACACACAUGUAACUCAAUAAGAUCUACAAAAAAGUCAGUGCGGCUGUAUCUGUCAAAAUUACGGUUAAAGGGUUAUUUCGCAUUUUUUGCCGAUCCGCACACAUUGGAAUUUCGCUAACUCCUCCGAAGGCUUUCGUUCCACCGGCACCACAUUUGCUCAGGCCAAUCUACACCCCGUGGCCAUUAAAAGUUAUCAAAAUCAUGAUGCUGCACCCCAAGGUUUAGGUUCUAGGGGGCGCCAAAGAUAACACUAAAAUCCACAUAUUUAAAAGUCUUAUAACUUUUUAUUUUUGUCCUCACUGGCCUCCAAGUUUUCUAGGAUGAUGCAAUGUCCAGCCAUCAACACAUUUGUGAAGGAAUUUUUACUCCCCAAAAGAGCGCCCCCCCAUGGCAGGAGAAAAAAGUCCAUUUUUUCUUGUCCCCUAAGGUGAAAAUACACAUUGUUGAGUGUCACGCCUAUACGCUUUGUCAAAAUGACACAAAAAUUGACACACACAUGUAACU